rnacentral:rRNA from 1 species
AUUGAACGCUGGCGGAAUGCUUUACACAUGCAAGUCGAGCGGCAGCGCGGGGCAACCUGGCGGCGAGCGGCGAACGGGUGAGUAAUGCAUCGGAACGUACCCAGUCGUGGGGGAUAACUGUCCGAAAGGACAGCUAAUACCGCAUACGUCCUGAGGGAGAAAGCGGGGGAUCGCAAGACCUCGCGCGAUUGGAGCGGCCGAUGCCGGAUUAGCUAGUUGGUAGGGUAAAGGCCUACCAAGGCGACGAUCCGUAGCUGGUCUGAGAGGACGACCAGCCACACUGGAACUGAGACACGGUCCAGACUCCUACGGGAGGCAGCAGUGGGGAAUUUUGGACAAUGGGCGAAAGCCUGAUCCAGCCAUGCCGCGUGAGUGAAGAAGGCC